rnacentral:misc_RNA from 1 species
GAUGAAGAACGCGGCGAAAUGCGAUAAGUAAUGUGAAUUGCAGAAUUCAGUGAAUCAUCGAAUCUUUGAACGCACAUUGCGCCCGCCAGUAUUCUGGCGGGCAUGCCUGUUCGAGCGUCAUUACAACCCUCAGGCCCCCGGGCCUGGCGUUGGGGAUCGGCGGAGCCCCCCGUGGGCACACGCCGUCCCCCAAAUACAGUGGCGGUCCCGCCGCAGCUUCCAUCGCGUAGUAGCUAACACCUCGCGACUGGAGAGCGGCGCGGCCACGCCGUAAAACACCCAACUCUUCUGAAGUUGACCUCGAAUCAGGUAGGAAUACCCGCUGAACUUAAGCAUAUCAAUAAGCGGAGGA